GGCUGGAAGCUCUGACUCAGGCUCAGGCUGUGUGUGUCUAUGCAGCUGUCUCAGAUCCGCAGCCAGGCGAGCAGGUACCCAAUGGUUCCUGGUUUGCUCUUCAUUGUUGUCCUGUCCCCUUUGGGAUGGGCCAUCCGUCAGCCGCCAGACAUGGUGGUCAUUCUGGGAAAGCCACUGACACUGAACUGCUCGCUGUCAAAAACAACCCAACUCAUGACCAUGUACUGGUACAAGCAGGCCGUGGGGAAGGACAGAAGGCUGCAGCUGGUCGUGUUUUCUACGGAAGGCUCUGGUGCAAAUGUUGAGAAGCCAUUUGAAGGUCACUUCCAGAGCAAUGGGACAAAAAACUAUGUCCUGUCUCUGUCUGCAGAGAGUGCCCAGAUGCAAGACUCAGGCACAUAUUACUGUGCUAAACAAGAUCACACAUGGGAAGACAAUGGGCUGAGGAGAGAGGACUACAGUGACCUGACCAACCAGUUCAAGCCAGAGGGGAACAAAGGAUGGAAGAGAGAGGGCCCCAGCAACCUGUUUACCUAG